UUUUUUUUUUUUGUUUUUUUUGUUUUUUGUUUUUUACAUCUCUUUCACAUUUGGGCCCAUUCUCUCCAAAAUAAUCAUACAUUUCUUGAUAUAUAUAUAUGUGUGUUUGUGUAUAUAUAUGUAUCAAGAUAUAUAUAUCAAGAUAUAUAUAUAUCACUUCUUGAUAUAUAUAUGCAUACAAAAUAUGUGAAGAUCAACCAAAUAUUAUUGAUAACAUAACCACAUAACAUAGAAACAUCUUACUUUAAGCAUAUUUUAGAGAUUCACCAUUGUAAUUUGAGAUAUUCAUGUUUUUAUUUUUUCCUACAGAAGAGUCUGUCAUUUCUGUUAGGAUAAUUAAAUUACAUCAUUGCAAAAUUCUUAAUAUGUCUAUGCAGACAAAAUGAAGUGGGCAUUUGUGGCAAUACUGUGCAUUAUAUGAGGAUUAUUUAUUAAUAAGGAGAAAUUUUUAAAAUACUUAAAUUGGUCUCAUACAGAUAAUACUACUUGGUAAAAUAAUUCAUAUACAUGAUUUUUACUUAAAACACACCAUGAAUUUAUAAGAAAUUGUUACAUUUUAAAAAUUAAAUAUCAGAUUGGAUCGCAAAGUGUUGCCAUUUUAAUUAUUUUUAAAAAUCAAUACAAUUAUAUUAACAUUGAAAUAUUUAAUAGGCAUGAGAAGGACUAUUCUUAUAAAGUUAUAAUAUUUUGCCUUUAGGAAAAGCUAAUGAUAGAAAAGGAAAAACAAAUGCAGAUUCAUACACCACAGAAUACACUGAAGAACUUGGCUUUUGAGAUUUCCCAGGGGGUGGGGAGUGCACUGUUAUAAUAGUUCCGUAAGAAUGCUUCCUGGGAUAUCUGGUAAAUAAUUAUUUCCUCUAUUUAUAUUGAAGUAUCAUAGCCCAUGUUAAAAGUGAGAGGUAGAAGGAUUAUUGUAAGUAUGCAUGGCAGAGAACUUACCAGCUAUGUCCAAUAACUAUUGCAUUCAGUAUUAAUAAUCUCAAUACAUAAAAAUGCUGAUGAUUUUAGAACCCAUUCUUAUAUGUUGUCCCCUUUAACUCUCUUUAUUAUCUUGCUACUUUCAAUCCAUUGCCUUUGGAAGGGUAUGAGUGCAAAGGGCUUGUUCAGGGGUAGAAUAGAGAAAGGGAAAAAAUGAAUAGAAAAAAAAAGAUAUUUAAAAAUUCCCAUUAAGAUACAGUGACUAACUAUUAAAAGUACCUUAUGUUCUUUCAUUGACUACAUUUGUACUUAUAAUAAAAGUACUACAAUCUAUGAAAACAUGCACAUAUUUCAAACAAAACUGAAGAAUUCUCAAUUCAAUGAGAUAUGAAUCGAAAUUUAAAACUCAGGUUAUUUCUUUCUCUGCAAUAACACUAAAAACUAAUCCAAAUAAAAAUGUUAACUGUGUCACAUUAAUAAGAAAAACUUAACUUGUCCUUGAAUUAGUUGUAUUUUAAUGAAUGCUUUAGUGUGUGAGAGGUGAAGAUUAGCAACCUCUUGGAUCUCGUUGAAGAAUUCUUUAAAAUCCCUUUGCAUUAAGUAUCCAGCAAUAGAACUGCAGAUAUUGCACUGAGUAUAUUUCAAUAUUGCCAGUGUAUAUUUCAAAACAAAUUCUAUUAUCUACACUAAGAUUUCCUCUUUCCCAAUAUUCAAAAUGCAUAUUAUAAUUACAUGGGUUUCCAACAUCCAUACACAGCAAGUACAAGAUACUUACAUGUACGUACACUGUAGUUACCUAUAUUUUGCAUAGUUUUUAGUGUGUACUUUGUGCCACUUAAUAAAAAGCAUUACUCAACAGUAAUUCUCAUUAGGUGUUUCAUUUAUUCGGCUGUGAUUACUGGUUAUUUUUUGUUUUGUAUUGUUUUAUCAGAAAUUAGCAUUUGCAAAGGGAAAUAAUAUUGGGCAAUUUGAGCGACUCUAAGUAAUUAGCAAUAUCAUGGGAAAGUUGCGGUAAAACAUGAGGUUUUGCGUUUUCUCCACAAUUAAAAAGCAUAAUGUAAAAUUUCAUAUUUGUUGUCCACUAAAUUAUCUUGAUGUCCAAAGAAAAACAAAAAGCAUUUGAAAUGUUCCCCUUGGUAACACUUUGCAAUAAGUGGCACUAAAUUACACGAUAACUGCUAUGUUACAUGGAAGAACCAUCACUGUCAAACAGCUGCUAUACAUGUGCCUAUAUGGAAUCUCAAUGCUGUUACAAUCAUGAGUACAUAAUUACAAAUGAGCUUGUACUUUUGAUUGAGAUAUUUAUAUUUUUACAAAGAAAUAAAAAUAAAUGAGGUGUUAGUUUCUUUGCCAU
ensembl:lncRNA